rnacentral:rRNA from 1 species
AUUGAACGCUGGCGGCAGGCCUAACACAUGCAAGUCGAGCGGAUGAAGGGAGCUUGCUCCUGGAUUCAGCGGCGGACGGGCGAGUAAUGCCUAGGAAUCUGCCUGGUAGUGGGGGCUAACGUCCGGAAACGGGCGCUAAUACCGCAUCCGUCCUGAGGGAGAAAGGGGGGGAUCUUCGGACCUCACGCUAUCAGAUGAGCCUAGGUCGGAUUAGCUCGUUGGUGGGGUAAAGGCCUACCAAGGCGACGAUCCGUAACUGGUCUGAGAGGAUGAUCAGUCACACUGGAACUGAGACACGGUCCAGACUCCUACGGGAGGCAGCAGUGGGGAAUAUUGGACCAUGGGCGGAAGCCUGAUCCAGCCAUGCCGCGUGUGUGAAGAAGGUCUUCGGAUUGUAAAGCACUUUUAGUUGGGAGGAAGGGCAGUAAGUUAAUACCUUGCUGUUUUGACGUUACCAACAGAAUAAGCACCGGCUAACUUCGUG